UACGUAGGGGGCAAGCGUUGUCCGGAUUUAUUGGGCGUAAAGAGCGUGUAGGCGGCCAUACAGGUCAGCUGUGAAAACUCGAGGCUCAACCUCGAGACGUCGGUUGAAACCGUAUGGCUAGAGUCCGGAAGAGGAGAGUGGAAUUCCCGGUGUAGCGGUGAAAUGCGCAGAUAUCGGGAAGAACACCCGUGGCUAAGGCGGCUCUCUAGUACGGUACUGACGCUGAGACGCGAAAGCGUGGGGAGCGAACAGG
rnacentral:rRNA from 1 species